rnacentral:rRNA from 1 species
AACAAAUGCAAGUCGAGCGAGGGGAGUUCUUCGGAACAAACCUAGCGGCGGACGGGUGAGUAACACGUGGGCAACCUGCCUCAAAGAGGGGAAUAGCCUCCCGAAAGGGAGAUUAAUACCGCAUAAAGUUAUUUUUUCGCAUGAAGAGAUAACCAAAGGAGCAAUCCGCUUUGAGAUGGGCCCGCGGCGCAUUAGCUAGUUGGUGAGGUAACGGCUCACCAAGGCGACGAUGCGUAGCCGACCUGAGAGGGUGAUCGGCCACAUUGGAACUGAGACACGGUCCAGACUCCUACGGGAGGCAGCAGUGGGGAAUAUUGCGCAAUGGGGGAAACCCUGACGCACCAACGCCGCGUGAGCGAUGAAGGUCUUCUGAUUGUAAAGCUCUGUCUUUUGGGACGAUAAUGACGGUACCAUAGGAGGAAGCCACGGCUAACUACGUGUCUCCAGCCGCGGUAAUACGUUC